UCGAACGCACCCAACACAGCUCAAAUGUCGCUUGAGCUGCAUGCCAGUGAUGUGAACUGAAGCAAGUACAAGAGCUGUGCCUUUCGACUUCAAAAGCUAAAGAUGGAGCAAUUGGACAAGACAACACAGUCACUUCUGGAAGCUGCACAGGCCAUUGCCUUGUUGGAGGCGCUCCCAAAAAUGUUCCCUUCCCCAACCGCCCCUCCAAGAAAACUCAAGUCGGCAAGUGAGGCACUGUACCAUGUCCUUGAGGUGGGUUUUAGAGUCAGUACAUAAUGCUUUCAUUUGUGAAUUUCAUGUGUGUGGUUUAACUUCAUUCUGCCCCCCUCCCCCAAUUUGUUGCUUUCAGCCACCUAAGGACCCCAAUGUCUUCUUGCGUAACUGAUAACCUUGCCAAGGGAAAUGCUUCUGGAAUCACUCAUGAUACUGAUGGGAUGCUACUCUGUGUUCCAGUUGACCUAUUCCAAGUGUAUUGCUAGGCUAUUGUCCAUAAUACAAACAGAGGUACUCAAAGAUUUUAUUCACGAGAGUGACAAGACGACAACAUAUAAAAAGGUUCUUGCUGACUGUCAAGUAUUCAUCCAAACCUAGUCUGUCUCUCCCUCUAUCUUUGUCAACCUCUCUCUGUAUGUCACUCUUCUGUAUGUCACUCCCCCCCCCAACUCUUUCUAUAUAUGUCUGGAGGUCAGGACAGCACACAGUAACACAACGUCCAAUGUAUUUCCAGCUACAUUUGUCAAUGAUUUGUUGACUGUUUGAUGAAUUCUGACUGUUUGAUGUGUUGCUGAAUUGUCAUCGUUUAUGUAGAUGUCAAUGUACCUUAUGUCUGACAGUUUACUUAAAUCAUUAUGUGUAAUAUGUAAUUAAGUACAUUUAAGCAUUCUGAUGCUUAAUAUUGUUCACUACUCUCAAAUGGCUGUUAUUGGUUUUCUUCAUUAACAGGCUAAUAAAACAGUGAUAAAUAA